CCUCCCACAGCUCCACCCCGCCACCUGGAUCGGGAUAGCACCACCGCACCUCUGCCUCCUCCCUUUGCCCUGACCACCUCCGACGCCGCGCUCCACCCCCGACCACCUCUGCCGCCACCCUCCACCCCCGGCCACCUCCGGAACAACAGCCCCGACCUCUCCCCCCACCCCUGCAACCCCACCCGCCGCCGCCCCCUGCAACUCAGACCACCGCCGCCCCCGUUAACCCCUCGUGACGCCGCCCCCAUCAACCUCGCCCGCCGCCACCUCGGCAACCCCUCAUGCCGCCGCCCCCUAUACCUGAAGCCAGAUGCGGCCGCGGCCAUCGUCAGGCAGGGAGACGGCAACUGCCACUCCGGCCUUCUCCCACGCAGCGGUUGCAGCACAUAGCUGCCCCCUUCAUGAAAUUGACAUGCAUCCCUGCCUCCUCCCUGGAUCCUUGCUGCAGCUUUCGGCCACCUUCAAGUUCUGACGGCCGUUCGAGCUCGCCGGCGUGGAGUACAUGAGUCACCGAGCAUUGAAUUUUUGUUGUUGUUUGAAAACUGAUUAUGAUGCUGGCAUGCCUCUUCAUUUUUCCCUGCUCAAUACAUUCCUGACGCCCUGGCCGCUGCUUCCCCUAGGGCCUCUGUGUCGCUGCCAAGACGUAUCUGUGCGCCACCGUGACUCGCCCCGCUGCGCACCAAGCUCUUCUUCAUCACUACCCCCUCCAUCUUCAGUUUGGUUCUGUAUCUGCAGCUCAACUUCCUUCUAAAACUUGUUUGUUCCUUCUGGAACUUGUUUAGACCGUAUCUUACAGCAUGCUGCACUUCCUAACGUUCAUGUGACUGCUACUAGAACACUACUCUAGUUUUGUUCGCAUCUUCUUAGCAUAAUAAUUAGUAUGGUAGUUCAAGUUCUCUGGAAUUUGUUUCUUCUAUUUUUAGUAUAGAUUCUUCCUUGUAGUUCAAGUUCUUUGGGAUUUUUGUUUUGAAGACAUGGGAGAAUAAUCCUGAGUGGAAAGGUCAUAUGAAUUUGGGGCAUUUAUCUGAGUGGUAAGUUCAAGUUCUAUUUGAAUUGCAACCUAUUGGUUACAGAGUUCGUGUGGAAGAUGUUGUUUUUUUUUUUUUUGAGCUUAGAUGUUGAUUGUUGUGUGUAUGUAGGGGAGCACAAAAAAACUUCUGGCUGACCCAGGGUCGUGGAUGCUGAAAACAUUUACAGACUUGGGUGACGGAAAAAGGUGGCUCCUCCUAUGAAUUAUUGAUUCCACACUUUUGUUUGUACUUACCAAAAAUGCAUAUGCAGUACGAUGCUCUGCAGAAUUUUCAUCAAUUAUGCUGCCUAUAUUGAAAAAUGGUUAAAUAAAAGAUUUGUGACUACAUUCAGGGAGUUUUCUCUCCCUUGUUUCUCAUUUCUUUGCGUCUUCAUACCUGGUUAGAUAAUUUUCGAGACAGACUGUUGUAUGAAGCUUAUGAUCUCAGUAUACGCUGCAUCCUUUAAAAUACUUGAACUUGAUAAUUCAUUGGCUUACUAAUCGAUCGAGGAGAUACUUUUAUACCAAACAUACUGCUACAUGAAUCUUAUUAUCUAGGUAUGAAUAAGUUUAAAUCAUGUGCUAAAAAAGAAUGUGCAUGAAGCUCCAAUGCACCCAGAUAAGUUUAGAUGUAUAUAUAACAUUGCAUGUAUUUCCUACAGUUGGUAUAGUUUUCUUGGUUUCUUUGAUUGGUCCGGUACAGUUUCCAUCAUUGGAUGAAUAUACCCGUUUGGAGUUGGUACAGUUUCGAACAAGAUCCACUCUUGUUCUCCUUUUUUUGUCUAUAUUCUCAGCUGUAGCAGAGAUUCCAAAUAAAAAACAUGGCCUUUAUAUAUUCAUGCAUAUUCAGACUCACUCAUCUCACUCCUUCCAUUCAUUCGUUAGGAGGGGACAUGCUUGUCUGUUUGAAUCUACAGUGCAGCAGAAAGUCGCAGCUCCUCUUUGAAACCAACUCAAGAACAUCGAUCUGAAAGCAUACGAUGCUUUAUGCUACUACCACCGACCGAUGCCCACUGCACAACGCGCUGAUGAACCCCUACACGUCAAAAUAUUGUGUUCGAGAAGGUCAAGUGUGUUAAGUGUAUCUCAGCAAGUUCAAAUAAUUUAAAUAUGCAAAAUGUUGUGUUCUAGAAGGUCAAGUGUGUUAUGUGCAUCACCUUGCCCCCAUUGAAUCUUCUGCAUUUCUUGUGUAUUCUUCAGAAGUUCAAGUCAUCGUAAGUUUCCUCGAUUGAGCUACUCUUAUGAAAAAGUUCAACACAGAGGCAGGUCUAUGUGUGCAGACCAGGGAGGAUGACGAACCAUGCCUGGUGCCGCUACCCUCGUGAACAGAUGGAGGAAGAAGGUCACCACAGAGGCAGGGAGAAGGUCACAUAAGGUGCAGGAAGAUUGUUAGAGUUCAGGAACAAGGGGUGUGUGAUCUUUGUGCUGUUUUUGGGGUGCAAAUUAACAUGGGUAUGCAAUCUCACAUCCUGUGUAUUCUUGAGAUGGCCUCCCUUAGCCUCAAAACCAUAUUGCAUAUAAAUAUGAUAGUCCCAAUGCUAUGGUCACGUGUAAAGAAAAUUAGAUAUGCGACUACCGAUUUUUUCUUCAGGUGGUCUUCAUCACCGUUCUAUAA